CUAAGAAGCAGUAGUAUUCUAGAAAAGAGAAUACCAUCAUGGGUGGGGUGUUUCAAGCUACCCCACCACCCCCUGCCUUAGGAGGGCUUGUAAAGAAGUUAUUGCAGGAGUGGGACUCUGAAUAACAUCAUGGGAGCCUAACAUUGAAGCACAAGACUGAAUCCUUGCCUGUUUGGAUAUUUGUACUACUGCUGCAGGGAGAGAAAGGGGAUGAUCAGACAUGAAAACUGGAAAUGCCUACUAUGCACAAAACACAAUAGGUCUUGAACUGGAAGGGAAGGCUACCUUUCGAAUGGCAAGUAUGUGGAUUAUAUAUCCUUAUUCCUCCCCACUUCCACUUAAUAUGGCAGUGCUACUGUGGAAAGAGUACAGCGAGAUGGGCAGAUCUGGUGAACAAACAAGCAGCACUAAGGACUAUGCGGCAUUCGUCGUGGGGUGGAGCGUCCACUGCCAGGUGGAGAAGAGCCACAAAGGGAGCCACCAGGAAAGGGAGGAGGAAGAGAGCUCAUUGACCGAAAUCGACCAAGGUUGUCUAAACUCCCACUGCCAACGCGGCUUUCAAUUUCCUCUGCUCGCUGUUCAGUGUUUUCCUUCUCUUCUUGUAUCAGUCUAGAGCAUUUAAAAAAUGAUGCAAUUACAUUUUUGUAAAUUAUCUGCCACAAAAGAGGGACACAAGUCAGAACCAAAUAGAUAAAACAAGCAGAACAGUGGACCUGUGUAGAAAUGUGUAUGGACCCCUACCGUAUGUCAGGAGGGAGGAAUCAUAUUAAAUUCAGACAGAACAAAAAGCAAAUAAGAAAGCAGUUGAAAUAUGUAUUUUGCAAAAUACUGUCAAUGCUCCUUGUUUUCCCUUAAAAUACUAAAUGGAAUCAUAAGAUUAAUUUAAGGAGCCUCUGGAGCUCUGUUUAGCAAUAUAGCAUGAAUGGAAAGAACGGCCCUUGCCUUUAAAUUGUUUUGUGCUGUGCAAACUGUCAUUUAAAUUAGAGUUUAAAAAACAGUUAACAAAAUAUGGCUGGCUUGCUGUGAAAGCCCCUAUGUCCCCAUAUGCUUGUCUAUGUUCAACUGAUUGCCAAUUUAAAAUAAUUUUAUACAAUUUUGUCAACGUUUCACUGCCAUUUUACAUGGAUGCCAAACAAGCAGUCAACUAUCAUUAUUUUCAACAAUAACUAAAGCUACAGCAAGAGGAGGUCUAUUACAAAGGAUAACUGUUAACUAUUUAAGGGUGCUUCUUUACAUGUCCUAAUAAAAGCUAUGGUAUUACUAUUGAAUACCACUGAAUAGGUGGUCUUUGGGGUUGUGUCCAACACUAUCCUUCCACUGACAGAAAACUCUUUCAUCUAAUAGAGACCUAUGAGCAGACUGGGAAGGGAGGCUAUUUUUGAAGAUUUACCCUUCCUCCUGCAACCUCCAUGCCACUUCCCACAAUUGUUCUCCACAUCCAUCUCCCUCGGAGACUGGGAAGGGGGAGUGGCCGCUGUAGGGAGGGUGAAUGUGUGAAAGUUGCCUUCCUGGAUGAAUACUGUACUGUCCUCACUUGAUCAAUAAAUAUUUUUACUCCCUUUUUAAAAAUCUCUGAAAAAUUGCUGCUCCUGAAAAGUUUUGCAAAAAGUACCUGUGCCCUAAUUAUUAAUACAAGAUCAAUGGACACUUCAGACAUGCACUGACACUCAUGAAGCUGCAUAUACAGCAGUUUCUUUUUAAGCAGUGAAGUUAU